UCCCUGGUGGUCCAGUGGUUAAGACUCUGCCCUUCUCCUGCAGGGGGUGCAGGUUCAACCCCUGCUCUGGGAA
rnacentral:tRNA from 1 species